rnacentral:rRNA from 1 species
GACGAACGCUGGCGGCGUGCUUAACACAUGCAAGUCGAACGGAAAGGCCCUGCUUGUGUGGGGUGCUCGAGUGGCAAACGGGUACGUAACACGAGAGUAACCGGCCCUUGACUUUGGGAUAACUUCAGGAAACUGGGGCUAAUACCAGAUCGGAGAUCCCGUUGCAUGGUGGGGGGUGGAUAGUUACGGCGGUUGGGGAUGGACUCGCGGCUUAUCAGCUUGGUGGUGGGGUAGUGUAGUACCAAGGCAUUGACGGGUAGCCAGCCUGAGAGGGUGACCGGCCACAUAGGGACUGAGAUACGGCCCAGACGCCUACGGGAGGCAGCAGUGGGGAAUAUUGCACAAGGGGCGGAAGCCUGAUGGAGCGACGCCGCGUGCGGGAGGACGGCCGUUGGGUUGUAAACCGCUUUCGCCUGUGACGAAGCGUGAGGGAGGGAAAUGGGGAAAAAAGCACGGCCAAACUAGGU